GUGGUUAAGAAUUUGCCUGCCAAUGAAGGGGACACGGGUUCGAGCCCUGGCCCGGGAAGAUCCCACAUGCUGCGGAACAGCUAAGCCCGCGGGCCACAACUGCUGGGCCUGCGUGCCACAGCUACUGAAGCCCACGCGCCUGGAGCCUGAGCUCCGCAACAAGAGAAGCCACCGCGAUAAGAAGCCCGCGCACCGCAGCGAAGAGUAGCUCCCGCUCGCCGCAACUAGAGAAAGCCCACACGCAGCAACGAAGACCCAACACAGCCAAAAAUAAAUAAAUAAAAUAAAAUCUAUCUUUUAAAAAAAAAAAAAAAGGCCCGCCAAGCCCACAGGGCUCUGCUGAAUUUUGUUUUGUUUUGUUUUGUUUUGAUUUGUUUUUACCCUGCUUUGUUCCAAAAAGGAUUGGAGGCAGCUUACAAAAAUACUUAAAAUACAGUAGGACAAAAAAUAGAUCAGAGAGAAAACAAGCCUUGAACAAACAGUACAAUGAACCAAGAGUGUGGUACACAGAAAUGUGCUCAAAGUGGACUGAAAAUUGGGCUCUGAGCUUCCUAUCAGUCAAAGUGAAAAGGGAAAUCCACCCGUUACAAGACUCACGAAGUCUAUGAGGUUGGAACAAUCCCAAAAGAAGCUUUUUCUGACACUGAGGUCUGAGAGGGAUCCCUGUGAGAUCUCUGAAGGGGACAGGGGUGGGGUCCCAGUCAGUGUCUUCAAAACAGUCUCAUAACAGAUAAGGUCAUCAAACCCCAUGAAGCUGCAUUUCCGCUCAGGGUAAAUCAAAGACUUGAUGCAGAUCAAUAAAACCAACUCUGUGGCGCGUCAGACCCAAGCCGUCCAAGUCAUUCAUCCAAGAGAUGCAAUUUAUUUAUUUAUUUACGGCUGCGUUGGGCCUUCGUUGCUGCGCGCGGGCUUUCUCUAGUUGCGGCGAGCGGGGGCUACUCUUCGUUGAGGUAUAUGGGCUUCUCAUUGCGGUGGCUUCUCUUGUUGUGGAGCACGGGCUCUAGGGGCGCAGGCUUCAGUAGUUGUGGUGCAUGGGCUCAGUAGUUGUGGCUCGCAGGUUUUAGAGAGCAGGCUAGAGCUUAGUUGUGGCGCACAGGCUUAGGUGCUCCGUGGCAUGUGGGAUCUUCCCGGACCAGACCUCGAACCCGUGUGUUACUAUGUGGGUAUUAUUUGAGAAGCAGCCACACGGAGGUGGCUUUCUAAUUUCUCAUCCUGGGGUCAGAGUGAGGAGUGUGUUGAGAAGGUCGUCCCACAGUGUGAUGGUAUUAAGAGGCGGGGCCUUGGCGAGGUGAUUAAGUUUAGAUGAGGUCAUGAGCGUGGGGCCCCCAUGAUGAAUUAGUGUCUUGAUAAGAAGAGGAAGAGAGACCAGAACACGUUCUCUAUCUGCCAUGUGAGGACACAGUGAGAAGGCAGCCCUCUGCAAGCCAGGAAGAGAGCCUUCACCAAAAGCCAGCCAUGCUGGUACCUGCAUCUUGGACUUCCAGCCUUCCAAACUGAGAGAACUAAAUAUUUGCUGUUUAUGCCCCGUCCGUGGAUCCCGAGCUGACUGAGACAGUGGGUGAGUCCCCACGUGCUUGGAACCAUUCAUCCAGAUGGGGAGUCGUGGGCCAGAGAUGGAAUUCAAAGCCAAGCGAAGGAGCGAGAGCAAGGGCAGCUGGGUGGAUUUGAUGAACACCCAACAGGAGGGAAGACCCAGUGCUGCCAGCUCCUUCUGUGAGUCCCAAGGCCUCAGAGUCAAGGCCCUUCCCAAGCCCCCAGCUCCUUGAACCUCUUUCAACAGCCGACCUGCCAGAUUCAGCCCUGCAGAACCAGAAGCGGUUUCCCAAAUGCACUGCUGCUGCUGGGAACAUUGUCCUUUACCACCUUGACAACGCUCUACCUGUCACAGCUGUGUUUCUCAUCCUCGCAGAAACCUGUCCUUGCCAUCCAGGUUCUAGGGGAGAAUUUGUUUCCUUGCCUCUUCCAGCUUCUGGAGGCGCCUGCAUUCCUUGCUUCAUGGUUCCACCUUCCAUCUUCAAAGCCAGCAGUGUAGUAUCUUCAAACCUCAAUCUCGGGACUUCCCUGGUGGCGCAGUGGUUAAGAAUCCGCCUGCCAAUGCAGGGGACACGGGUUCGAGCCCUGGUCCAGGAAGAUCCCUACAUGCCGUGUAGCAACUAAGCCCAUGCGCUACAACUAAUGAGCCUGUGCUCUACAGCCCGUGAGCCAAACUACUGAGCCAGCGUGC